rnacentral:lncRNA from 1 species
CGCUAAUAAGUUUAAUAAAUAUUUUUUUUGUAACGGUUUUUUUUGUCGUGAUUGGUUGUUGGUAAAAACUGUUAUUAAGAACGGCUAUGUUGCCGUCGCUAAUAGCCGCCAGUAAAAAGCUUAUUAGUGAUGAAAACAUUACCGUCGAUAACACUGUCGUUAAUACUUGCCAUUAGUGAUGGCAAAAAUACUAUCAUUAAUAACUUAAUUUCUUGUAGUGUUUCAAUGGUACAUGAGAAAGUGGGUAUAGGCUUAAGCAAAAGCUACAACAGCAUGUUCAUGAUCUCAGCUUUGUAUCCAAAUGGAACACAUGUAGUUAAUUCGU